AUGUUUACCUGGCAGCGGAGAAACAAUGGUCAUGGAGGUAGUGCUCCCUGGGCGAGGCUACCCCAUUGCACUCCGGGUGUGCCGAUGCCCGCAAUGUCCCCAAAUGCGGGAUGCCCGACUAUAAAAUUUGUGGUAAUGGGGGACUGCGUUCGCGCUCCCCCCUG